GGAUAGCUCAGUUGGUAGAUGAGACUCUUAAUCUCAGUGUUGUGGGUUCAAGACCCACAUUGAGCA